rnacentral:lncRNA from 1 species
CCAAGAAUAUUUUUCACCUUUCUUAACGUUUUAUUUAAUUUUAUAUAAUUUUUAUUUUUGUAUUUUUUUAAUAUUAAUAUUUUAUUUUAAUUAUUUAUUCUAAAUGGUCCAUUUUAACACACUUUUUUUUUAUUGAUUUUAUUUUUAUGACUUAAAAUUAUUGUUAGUAUUUGAUUUUUGGGAUGAAGGUUGACCACUGUCUCAUGGUCAACCUGACCUUUUCUUGGAAUUUUA